rnacentral:rRNA from 1 species
UGCUACUUUGCUGACGAGCGGCGGACGGGUGAGUAAUGCUUGGGAACAUGCCUUGAGGUGGGGGACAACAGUUGGAAACGACUGCUAAUACCGCAUAAUGUCUACGGACCAAAGGGGGCUUCGGCUCUCGCCUUUAGAUUGGCCCAAGUGGGAUUAGCUAGUUGGUGAGGUAAUGGCUCACCAAGGCGACGAUCCCUAGCUGGUUUGAGAGGAUGAUCAGCCACACUGGGACUGAGACACGGCCC